rnacentral:rRNA from 1 species
UACGUAGGGUGCAAGCGUUGUCCGGAAUUAUUGGGCGUAAAGAGCUCGUAGGCGGUCUGUUGCGUCCGCUGUGAAAACUCGGGGCUUAACUCCGGGCCUGCAGUGGGUACGGGCAGACUAGAGUGCGGUAGGGGAGACUGGAAUUCCUGGUGUAGCGGUGAAAUGCGCAGAUAUCAGGAGGAACACCAGUGGCGAAGGCGCCGCUCUGGGCCGAGACUGACGCUGAGGAGCGAAAGCGUGGGUAGCAAACAGG